CCUUACCAGGUCUUGACAUCCUCCUGACCGGGACUUAACCGUCCCUUUCCUUCGGGACAGGAGAGACAGGUGGUGCAUGGUUGUCGUCAGCUCGUGUCGUGAGAUGUUGGGUUAAGUCCCGCAACGAGCGCAACCCCUAUCUUCAGUAGCCAGCGGAUCRGCCGGGCACUCUGGAGAGACUGCCAGGGAUAACCUGGAGGAAGGUGGGGACGACGUCAAAUCAUCAUGCCCCUUAUGAUCUGGGCGACACACGUGCUACAAUGGCGGUUACAAAGUGAGGCGAACCCGCGAGGGGGAGCGAACCACAAAAAGGCCGUCCCAGUUCGGACUGUAGUCUGCAACCCGACUACACGAAGCUGGAAUCGCUAGUAAUCGCGAAUCARAAUGUCGCGGUGAAUACGUUCCCGGGUCUUGUA
rnacentral:rRNA from 1 species